UUAAAACCAGAACUCUUUCAUGGAGUUGUAGGAUUAGGUUUUUAAAACCAGAAGCUCUCUAUUUUGAUUUCAUGGAGUUUAUUUUGAAUUCAUGGAGUUGUAGGGUUAGGUUUUUAAAACCAUAACCUACCGCUCCCACCCGCCAGUCACUCAACCCUCACCUUCAACACUGAAAAAUUCCUAUUGUCCACCAUCUCCUGCUGGCAAAGAAAACGAGGGCACGUGAGGAGUUUUAAGAUUUUGCUUCUCCUCUUCUUCGCCAAUUUUCUGAUUUCACGAGGUUUCCGCACAGUUUUUAGGGGUUUCAGGAACAGGAAUUGAAGGAGAUUUCAUUAAAUUUUCAGUUUUAAGAUCUUAUUUGAGGGUACUGCUCUGUUUCUGAUUCGAUCGACCAUCGAUUUUUGUUUUGGUGAAGAUCAUACAAAACCCUUGCGAGUUGCUUAGUUCUUUUAAUUCUAAGGUAGUUGUGUGCACCUGGUUUUAGAUUCUGGGCUUGAUCUGCUUUAUCUGAGUUAUAAAUGGAGAGCUGGAAGCUUUGUAUGCAGCAGGCCAAGGUUGUUCCUAAACUGAGGCCUCAGAUAUUAGACUCUUUGUUUGCAAACAUGAAGGAAUAGAGGAUGAAGACAUCAUCUCAUCAGAUGAGAAGGGGUUGAUUUCAGCAACAACAACGGAAAAGGGAUCGAUUUAACAGUUAUUCCCACUAACUAGACCUAUGUUGAUCAUUGUGCAAGGAGAUGUGAGAUCAUAUGGGUGUUAAAAAUUGUACCCCAGCCAACCAUGUGGUGCAAAGUAGUGGAUUUAUCUCUAGCACCCAAGUCUCUGACUAUCAGUAGGAAACAGUCCAUUCUUUGUUUUGCUUCCUUCAGUACUUUUCUCUUCAUUAACCUGACUAUCUCCAAUAUGGAAACUUAUAGAUAUCUUCUUUCAAUUUUUUUGAUCUGAGAUUUGGAUUAGUUUGUUUCUCAUCUAGUUUGUAUUGGGAUGGUUGUUAAAUUCAUUGGUGACCAUUUAGCAGCUAAUUCGCAUUUUAUAUUUUGUGAUUUCAA